UGUUUUCUUUAAUCAAGAACGAAAGUUGGAGGAUCGAAGGCGAUUAGAUACCGCCCUAGUUCCGACCGUUAACGAUGCCAGCCAGCGAUCCGCCUGUGUUACUAAUUUAGACACGGCGGGCAGCUUCCGGGAAACCAAAGCUUUUGGGUUCCGGGGGAAG
rnacentral:rRNA from 1 species